rnacentral:rRNA from 1 species
GAUCAUGGCUCAGGACGAACGCUGGCGGCAUGCCUAACACAUGCAAGUCGAACGGGGGUAGCAAUACCCUAGUGGCGAACGGGUGAGUAACACAUAAGCAAUCUGCCCUUCACAGGGGGAUAACAGCGGGAAACUGCUGCUAAUACCGCAUAAGACCACGGUACCGCAUGGUACAGGGGUAAAAACGAAUCAGUGGUGAAGGAUGAGCUUAUGUCCCAUUAGCUAGUUGGUGAGAUAACAGCCCACCAAGGCGACGAUGGGUAGCCGACCUGAGAGGGUGAUCGGUCACACUGGAACUGAGACACGGUCCAGACUCCUACGGGAGGCAGCAGUGGGGAAUAUUGGGCAAUGGAGGAAACUCCUUACCCAGCAAUGCCGCGUGAGUGAAGAAGGUCUUCGGAUUGUAAAGCUCUUUGAUUGGGGACGAAGAAAGUGACGGUACCCAAAGAACAAGCCCCGGCUAACUACGUGCCAGCAGCUGC